rnacentral:lncRNA from 1 species
AUCCAUUGGGUUCAGGAUUUCUCUCUGAUAAUGGAUCAGAUUGCACCAAUAUCAAUCCGUUUUUUUCCAUUUAUUCCAAGGCAAGAAUUCAACAAUCCCUCAACCAAAAUCAAGAAACUAUUCAUACGUUGUUGAAUAGAAAUACGGGAUUCCAAUCGUUGAUAAUUUUUUCAUCAUCCAAUUAUUUUCGAAUGGGCCUAUUCAAUGAUGUAAUAAAAUAUCACAAUGUGAUAAAAGAAUCAAUUCAAAUUACAAAGGGUCCUCGAAUUCUAAUUAAGAAUUCGCUGAGGCCUUUUG